rnacentral:misc_RNA from 1 species
UCCGAGUUGACCCCGGCAGUCUCCCAUGAGUCCCCAACUAAAUGCUGGCAACAUGGAACGAGGGUUGCGCUCGUUGCGGGACUUAACCCAACAUCUCACGACACGAGCUGACGACAGCCAUGCACCACCUGUACACCAGUGUCCAAAGAGACCCACAUCUCUGCAGGCUUCUGGCGUAUGUCAAACCCAGGUAAGGUGGGGAUGACGUUACGGUCUUACU